CACGUAGGGCGCAAGCGUUGUCCGGCAUUAUUGGGCGUAAAGAGCUCGUAGGCGGUCUGUUGCGUCCGCUGUGAAAACCCAGGGCUUAACCCUGGGCUGGCAGUGGAUACGGACAGACUAGAGGUAGGUAGGGGAGAAUGGAAUUCCCGGUGUAGCGGUGAAAUGCGCAGAUAUCGGGAGGAACACCGGUGGCGAAGGCGGUUCUCUGGGCCUUACCUGACGCUGAGGAGCGAAAGCGUGGGUAGCGAACAGG
rnacentral:rRNA from 1 species